GCAAAUAAAUGAUCCUGACGAACAAACGUGACCAGAAUCUAACGAAGAGUAUAUGGGUACAUGCAGAUAAAUUAGUUACCAAGGCAUUCAUAGCUCCAGCUUUGAAAUGGUGUGGAUGUUGGGGUCUCUUCUCUCUAGCAAGGUAUACCAAAGUAGGCAAACCACACCCAUCAAUGUCUUUGGCAUUUGGAUCUUUCCCAUCUAUCAGAAUCUGUCAAACAAAGUGGAAGUACAAACAUCGAACACCAAGACUACAAUUAUACUUGAUGGGAAACUUUUGCAAGUUGAAAAAGAAAAAAAGAAGAAAAAAAAAACAUUACUUGAAGGAUAGUGUCAUGGUCUAGCCGUGAAGAGUAUGAAUCCCACUGUGAAAAUCCUUCAUGUUUGGAGCGUUGUUCUUCAGGGAUUCGACCUAGCUUGGUUGCACUUUCAAUUCGCUCUUUCAUUUCUUCAUAUAAUUUCUGCAACGAAAUAGCUUAUACUUUCAAUUUAUCACUGCGUCUCUUCAAAGUUUGUUUCUUAUAUAUAUAUAUAUAUUCUCUAAAUAGUGUUGGGAAUUUUUCUUUUAAUAAAAAAUAUUAAAUGAAUUUUUAUUAUUUUUUCACAUGAUUUUUAUUUAUUUUAAAAUAAUUUUUUUAAAUUAAAAUAAUCAAAUUAAAUUCUGUGAAAUUUUUUAUUUCUAAUAAGAGGAGAAAAUGUCUAAUGUGAAUUUUUUUAAAAAAAAAUUAUGAAUAUAAUUCCCUAUUAAACUUUCAUUAUAAUUAUAAGAAAAAAUUAUUUUUUAGUUCUUGAAAUUUAACGUAAUUAACAUUUUUAUCUCUCUAUUUUGACAAUCCAACACUUAAAUCUAUCACUUUCUUAUCCGUUCAAAUUUGUAGUUCUUCCAUAAAAAAUAACCGUUUGAUUAAAGAGAGAAAGGUGAGAUGUGAAAUUUUUUACCAAAAAUACCCUUAAUAAAAUUGUUAAAACCCUUCUCAAUAUGAAAUCCCUUCAUUCUUCUUCUCCCUCAUAUUUUAUCUAUUUUUUCCCUCCAUCCUUCUUUUCUCUCGUAUCUUUUUUAUUUUUUCCCUCCAUCCUUCUUCUCCUUGUUUCUUCCCUCCAUCCUUCUUCUCCCUAUUUCUUCCCUCCAUUCUUCUUCUCCCUCGUAUCUUCUCUAUUUCUUUUAUCCCUUCCGUACAUCUCUCUUGCUUCUCCUUCCUCUCAAUCCUCCCCUGUCUCUUCUUUUCUCUCAAUUUCUUAAAAUUCUCAAUGAGUUCUAGAAAUCAUUAAAUAAUUCUUGAAAUUUCCAUAGGAACUUGAUGAAAUUUCCAUACGAACUUGAUGAAAUUGUUGAAAAUAUUGGGUAAAAUAAUAAAACCUGAGUCGUGUUGAACACUGUCCUUAAGGAUUUAUUUUGUGAUCCCCCAUGAUUAAACAUGUUCUUCUGGGAUUUAAUUCCCAAGAUUAGGACAACAAGAAUUUAUCUCUAAUUUAUAACCCAGCAGAUAACACAGAGAAAAGAAAAAAUAAAGUAGAAAAAUUAGGAGUGAUAAUAUCUUUGUAAAGACGAAUGCUAUUUAUUGUAGAAAACUGACAGCUAUAUAUGGUUAUAAGAAUCUUGAAAUAAAAUCAUAACGGUCAUAUUUAAUAUUAUAUUUAAAUCUCAUAAAUAAAAUAUUUAAUAACCAUAAAAUCUUUAAUUACCAUAAAAUCUUCAACGACCAUAAAAUCUCUAAUUACUAUGAAAUCUCCAACGACCACAAAAUCUUUAAUGACCAUAAAAUCUCUUUGAAAUCUAAACUAAUUUUACAACAAUUCCCACAGAUUUCAAAAGAUUUUCAUUGCUGGGUUUAGAAAUUUAGUGUGUAUGUUUCGAAUCUAGUGUCUUUUAGACUAUGAAUCAGACCUAGAUUAAUAAGACUUAAUAUACAGAGUAAUUGGUGAAACUUUUAUUUCUAUGAACCAAAACUCUUUUUUGUAUAUUAAUUUCUCAUCAAACGGAUCUUGUUGUCAACGCCGUUUUGCGCUAAUAGGCCAUGCGCGCGCCUGGAAGUUCAUAAGUGCUCUAGAGAUUAUGCCACAAUCUCAUAGAAGCGGCCCCACUCCACACUUAUAUAGGUGAUAUCAUCAAGUGUAUACUGUAAUUUAUACACCACCUAUAAGAGAUAUGAAUAUCAUUAAGAGUUUUCAUCUCAUCAUCUCAUUAAUGCAGUCUAGCACUUCUCACACCAUAGAAAGGGACAACAAUAAAUGGUGCUAUCAGAACUAACAAGUGACUUGUUAUUAUCCAUAUGAACAUUUUUCAUGGGAUCUCCAAUCACAAAGGUUGGGUUACUAUCACAGUUAAUUUUAAAUUGGCUCAAGUUCCAUUCCUCUCGAUGUUUCAUCGAUUAGUUUUCUCUCUAAAGGUUUAGUCAGAGAAUUGGUCAAAUUCACUUCUGACUUCACAUAAUCAAUGGAAAUAGUUUCAUCUUUCAGCAGCUGCUUAACAACAUUAUGUCUCAGACGAAUAUGUCUAUUCUUACCAUUGAAAGUUUUAUUCUUUGCAAUAGCUAUUGCCGCUUGGCAAUCACAACGCAUUGAUAUAGAUGGUGUUGAUAAAAAAAUUCACUAAAUGCAACAGAUUCCCAAUGAUCUAUGCAUAUUCAGACUCUAAUUUUCUUUAAUUGACAGUUAGAAUCAUAAGGGGUACUUACAGGUUUGACAUUGAAAUAUCCAAACUUCCUUAGAACCUUUUCAACAUAAUGCUCUUGUGAUAGCAUUGGACUAUCAUUCUUCCUUAUGAUUCUAACUCCCAAAAUCACAUUUGCCUCUCUCACAUCUUUCAUAUCAAAUUUAGAGGCAAUGAAAAUUUUUUAUUUACAACUAUAUCAUAAUUUGUACCAAAAGUAAGCAUAUCAUCCACAUAUAAACAAAUAAUCACAGAUUCAUCAUUUAUACGUUUUGUAUAUACGCACUUAUCAAUCAUUUAUACAUUUUGUAUAUACACACUUAUCAACUUCAACAGAGAUAAAAUCAUCAUUCAACAAAACUUGAUCAAAUUUCUCAUGCCACUGUUUGAGAGCUUGUUUUAAACCAUAUAAUGAUCUAAGAAGUUUACAGACUUUAUUUUCUUGACCAGAAACAAUACAAUCAUUAGGUUGAACCAUAUAAAUUUCUUCUUCCAAGUCUCCAUUUAAAACUGUUUUAACAUCCAUUUGAUAAAUAACAAGUUUAUGCAUAAAACCUAAAGCAAUUAAUACUUUAAUAGAAGAAAUUCUGUCUCAGGAAGCUAAAACAAGUUUAUGUAUAGAAGCUAAAGCAAACUUAUAAACUUGAGUUUAUAGGUUUCAGCAUAACUUAUAAACAUGCAAUCAAAAGUUUUUGAACCUAUUUUUCAUUUCUUAAGAUCAGGAAGAAUUGUUUUAGCAAGAUACCCCUACACUUUUAUGUAAUACCCGGCUAGACUCCGGUAUCGGAAUUCCAACCGUUCGGUGGAAUCUCGGAUGUCGGAGACGUCUAGAAGGGUAAAAUCAUGUUUUCACAAAUGUUUUCAUGUUUUAAUGAUUUUUAAGUAAGAAUGAAUUUGAGUUUUUAAAUGAAAAAAACCAUGGAACCUUUACCAGGGUUGGCCGCCGAAAGUCAUGUUCGGCCGCCGAACGUGGAUAGGUUUUGGGAGCACUUUUGGCCUCCGAAAGUUUUGUUUGAAAGAGACCAGGUUCGGCCGCCGAACCUCAUGUUCGGCCGCCGAACAUGCAUGAGAUGUGGGGGCACAUUUGGCCCCCGAACGUGAACUGGCCAGCCCCUAUAUAAGAGCUCCAUGGCCGAAACGGGUGAGUUUUCUCCCCAUUUUCAGCCACGGUGAGUUCUUGCUCCUCCAUGGUUCAUUUUUGAUGAUUUUUCCUCAAUCUUUCAUGUUUUAACAAGGUUUAUGUCGUUUUGAAGAGAUUUGACCAAGUUUUGGAGCUUUGAGGUCCAAGAACUCAAAAUCUCCCACCUCCGAGUUUAGGACGUCUCUCUCUCGAUCUUCAAGAGGUAAGAGCCGAUCUUAAGCUCAUUUUAUGUUUAAAGUAAGUUUUAUGCAAGACCUAUGGGGUAGAAGGCAUGUUUAGCUCAUAGUUAGGUUUUUGAGUUAAUGUUAUGUUUUGAACAAUGUAUGUUGGAUUGUGUUGUUGUUGAGUGUUGUAGUUGGGGUUUAAGUUAGUUUGAGGCCCCUAGGAACCCUUGUAUGUAUAUUUGCAUGAUUUGAAUGAGUUAUGUGCAUGUUGGAAGAGUUGGGAGGCAAAUGUGCAUAAAGGAGCCAAGUUUCUGCCCUUUGGCAGAAACCAGGUUCGGCAGCCGAAGGCACUUUCGGCCGCCGAACAUGGCUGGGGAGGCAGGCCUUUCGGCUGCCGAAGUUGCCCCCGAAAAGAGACUUUCGUCUUUGUCUGGGACUUUCGGUCGCCGAAGGUGCCGCCGAACCUGCCUGGGUUUCGGCUCUGGAGGGACUUUCGGCCGCCGAAGGUGCCGCCGAACCUGCCCUGUUCUGCCUUCCUUUGUAUGUUUUUGCAUGAUUAUUUGAGGUGUUUUAGGGGGUUUUUGGGGGAUAUUUUUAGAGUUAUGUUCUAGUUGUUUGGUCCCUCAUUUGAGUCCACCUGUGUAGGUUCGGACCCGAGGAACCGAGGACCCCAGCAGUGAGUCCAGCUGCUUCUGAGUUAGUAGAGCUUCGGCCAGAGGUGAGUAGAAUAAACCUUAUGUUUUAAAGCAAAUGAAUUAUACAAUUGAGCAUGUUCAUGCAUCAUGAAUGCCAUGUGAUGAAAUAGGUUGUUUGCAUUAGAAUCCACGAAUAUGUUGCAUUGCAUUUAUGAUGUUGAUGUGGAUUGGUUAUUGGAUGACCUUUUAGUCCUCAUACGAUAUGAUGAUGCUACGGCAUGAGAUAGUAUGGAAGUCCAGGUUGUACCCAUUCUACGUCCCUGGCACUAUGUAAGAGAAAGUCCAGGUUGUACUCAUUCUACGUCCCUGGCACAUUGGUAUGUAUGAUAUGUUAUGUUAAGAGAAAGACCGGUUGUACCCAUUCUACGUCCCGGCACUUUGGAAUGUAGAGGACUAUAGGUGACAAUACCAUCCGAGAUGUGAUUUGUUGUGAUGUGUUGCAUUACAUGAUGGCAUGAGUUUUAAAUAUUUUUCUAUUAUUCUGCUCACUGGGCUCUUGUAGCUCACCCCUUUUCCCUAAUCCCUCAGAAUUGCAGGUACGGGCUAGACAGAGAAGUCAGGAAGAGUAAAGUCUUAUGUUUGUAAUAGUUAGAUAGUGGACAAGAUAAAUUGUAAGAUGAUGUAAAGUUAAAUAGUUAUGUUAUGUAUAAUGAUCUUGAGGUUUAGAAGUGUGCUUGACCAUAGUUUAUUGUAAUCCCCUGUUGAUACAUGAUCUUAAUGUCUAUUGAUGUUUAUAUUUAACCAACUCAACUUAUGAUGUAUCGCCCAUUGGGGCAUUGAUGAGAUCCCACAGAGGGGUUGAGUUUAUGAUUAUGAGUAUGUUUAGUGAAUGCACAUGUUGAGUUUGGUGUAUGAGGAAUAAAUGAAAGAAAAGUUUUAAUUUUUAUGUAUGAUUGUUGAUCAUGUAUGGGAUUAAUCAGGUUUUCAGGAUGUAUGUUAGGCUUGCUACGGGUCCCGGCGGCCUUAAGUCGACCCGGAUCCUAGCGCCGGUAGCGGUUCGAUUUUCGGGACGUUACAUUUUAAAUAUUUUAAGUUAGGUAUAUAACCUUUCCAAAGUUCAUAGGGUAUUUUAUCAGUUUUCUUAUAGGGUAUUAUAUUUUGUAGAUGACAAGCAGAUAAUAAAGCUUCCCCCAAAGGUUAUUAGGUGAGGAAUAACUUAUUAAUAAAGCAUUCAUCAUUUCUUUUAAUAUCCUAUUUUUUCUUUCCGCUACUCCAUUAGAUUUAGGUGAGUAGGGUGAAGUAAAUUCAUGAAUUAUUCAUUCCUUUUCACAAAAGUCAUUAAAUAAGAUAUAUUCUCCACCUCUAUCUGAUCUAAUCCUUUUUAUUUUCCUAUUUAAUUGAUUUUCUACUUCAGCUUUAUACAAUUGAAACAUAUUAAAUGCUUCAUCUUUGUUUCUAAGCAAAUAUACUUUAGUAUAUCUAGAAUAGUCAUCAAUAAAAGUUACAUAAUAUUUUUUUUUUACCACCUCUAGUCAUAGUUUGUUUUAAAUCCCCUAAGACUUUGUGUAUUACUAAGCAAUUCAGAUUCUCUAUGUGUAGUUGAACAUGAUUUUUUUUUGUUUGACUUAGAUUCUACACAAAUCUCACAUUUAUUUAAACAUGUAUUACCGGUGACAGAUAUUAUACUAAUAUAUUGCUCCUUUCUUUUUUUUCUUUUUUUUUUAAAUAUAAAAAACACUAACAUUUCCUAAUCUAUCAUGCCAUAAAUUAAAAGAACCAAGCAAGAAAGCACAAGAUGAUGUAUUUCCAUUUGUUAUUGCAAAAAUAUUGAGAAUAAAGAGUCUCUGAUUACAAUAACAUUUUUCAAUAAAAAUAUCAUUUUUAGUCAGUAUAAUUUUGUCUGACCCAAAUGACUCCUUAAUCCCAUCAUUUCUCAAUAGUAUUCCAGAAAUUAAAUUAGCUCUCAUAUUGGGUACAUGAAGUACCUCAUUAAGUGCAAAGGUCUUUUCAGAUAUGAGUUUGAGAAGAACUUUCUCUUUACUAAGUAUACUUGCAGUCCUAAAAUCACCAAAAUACACAUGUUCGUCUCCUUCUCCCACUGUAAAGUAGGAGGUAAACGCAUUUCUGUUUGUACAGAUAUGCCUAGUAGCACCAAAAUCUACUACCCAUUCUAGCACAUUAGCUACAAGAAAAGUUUGAGAAAUAACCACAGCAACAAUGUCAUCUCCUUCAACUAAAUUCACUUUUGGUUUAGGAGGAUUGUCAUUUAUCACUCUUUUCCUGUACUGGGGUGCAUCAUGAUCCGGCUUACCACAUACAAGACGAUAUCCUUUCCUUUUAAAAAUGGGAUUAUUAAACUUGAGCUUGUAAUUAGAUUUCUUAUUUUCAUACCUGUUAUUUGAUUUGUGCACUUUUUCUUUAUACAAGAUUUGCUCUUGUAGCCAACAUCCUCAGCAGUAUAUUUCAAGUUCAUUGAAUCUCAUUUUUUUUUAUUGAAUCCCAUAUUUCAUUGAAUCUCAUAUUUACUUGGUUUCCUUGUAAGAACAAUAGUUAUCAAAGAAAUUGUUAAAAAGAGUACUGAUAAUUGUAUGCCUGUAUACCUUAUUAGAAUAGACCCAAAUUUCAUGCAACUUUGGAUCAAUAGCAGGUACAGGUCUUGAUUCUCAAUCUUUGAGAUGUGAGGACAGUAGGCAGAAGAAACCGACCAUUUGUAGAAGCAGAGAUAAUGAUAAUGUCAUUGGAAGCGGGCAGUGCAGAAAUAGAGACAGUGACAACAUUUGGUUUCAUUUGUGUAAAGAUAAAUCCUUAAGAUUGUUGGAAAUAUUGGGUAAAAUAAUGAAACCUGAGUCGUGUUGAACACUGUCCUUAAGGAUUUAUUUUGUGAUCCCCGAGGAUUAAACAGAUUCUUCUGAGAUUUAAUUCCCAGGAUCAGGACAACAAGAAUUUAUCUCUGAUUUAUUACCCAGCAGAUAACACAGAGAAAAUAAAGAAUAAAGUAGAAAAAUUGGGAGUGAUAAUAUCUUUGUAAAGACGACUAUUGUGGAAAACUGACCGCUAUAUAUAGUUAUAAGAAUUUUGAAAUAAAAUCAUAACGGUCAUAUUUAAUAUUAUAUUUAAAUCUCAUAAAUAAAAUAUUUAAUAAAUAAAAUAUUUAAUAACCAUAAAAUAUUUAAUAACCAUAAAAUCUUCAACGAUCAUAAAAUCUCUAAUUACCAUGAAAUCUCCAACGACCACAAAAUAUUUAAUGACCAUAAAAUCUGUUUGAAAUCUAAACUAAUUUUACAACAGAAAUUUUCAUGGAAACUUAAUUUCUUUUAUCAUUUUUUUUAUUUAGAAAAUUGUGAGUGCGGAAUGGCGAACAGUGUGAGAGACCUAGUAGAAGUUGGAAAAGCUAUGAAAGGAGCAACCUUUGAUGUGGUGUUAGAUAACAAUGGUAAGGACCUUGAUGCUGUGAGGUUUGGCAAGCCUAUUGACUCAAACCCAUUAUUAAUAUAAGCAAACAAUCCUAAUCAACUUUCACAAACAGGCCUGGCCCAAGAACAAAAUUGACGAUAUUUUGUUCUAAACAGAGAUUGUCCAGAAAAGGCCAGUGCCAAUCCUUGAAUCUAUGAUGCAACUAACUAAUAUUGCUCAUGUUAGAGACUUGUCCUCUAUACUUACAGCAGUUGUUGAGAACCUAGAAGCUGCAAGUAAUAAAAUAUUCAAUUGCGUAAGCGACCGUAAUGUGACUCUGGAUGGAAGGCCAAACUUUGUGCACAAGCGGCAGGACUAUCAAUUGAAAUCGUGCAUUAUGAUUCAAAAGCCGUUGAAGUUGACGCAGAGAAAGCUUUUCUUUUCCGAAAAGAAACAAAGAAAAUAUGAGCAAAAAGAAAAAUAUAAGGAUUUCACGUUAAAAGGGGUUUUAACAAUUUUAUUAAGGGCAUUUUUUAUAAAAAAAUCUCACCUCUCACAUUUAACUCUUUGACCAAACGGCUAGUUUUGAUGGAAGGACUAUGAAUUCGGAUGGAAGGACUAUGAAUUCGGAUGGAAGAGAAAGUGAAAGACUUAAAUGUUGGGUCGUCAAAAUAGAGGGACAAAAGUGUUAAUUGCAUUAAAUUUUAGGGACUAAAAAGUAAUUUUUUCUAAUUAUAAAUUAAAUUAAUUUAAACCUUUAUCAUUAAUGUAAACAUAUUUUUUUUAUCAUCGAUCUUCAACUAAAUUUUUAUAUUUUAUAUAUUGAUUGCUCUUAUUUAAAAAUAUAUAAAAAUGUUUUACAGAGUAAUUGUAAUAUUUUUUAAAAAAUUAUAAAAUUUGAAUUUAAAAGAAUCUAUAUGUGAGAAUUAUGAAAUUUUUUUUGAAAAAAAUAUUUUGCAAUCUGUCAAAAUUAGUAAAUUCAAACUUAUAAAUAAAAUAUAUAUACAAAAAAUUUUAAAAUUAUUUAAAAAUUAUAAUUUAUUUUAUAUUCAUAAAUUUAAUACGAUAAUAAAUAUAUCCAAAUAAAUAAUUUAAUAAUAAAUAUAUUUAAAUAGAUUUGAGAGUUUUUAAAUUUCGAAUUUAACCGAUAAUAAAUCAUUACCUUAAUAGCUACGGACGCCUCAAUACGAUGAGAAAGAUCCAUACAAGAUUUGGAAUCAGCAAAAUAAGCAGCAGGAGACCUUGGUUCCACCUUGAACUUCUUACAAUAUGGUAUCCAAUGUCUGGCAAACUCGGAACCCUCCAAGAGAGCAUAAAACGUAAGAUCUGAUCCACCAUCGUCCGACAGAUACACACUAAGUUUUUCCGGUGAAUAAUCAUAAGCCAAAACAGAUAACACCGUAUUCACCACCAUUAUCGGCGGCUCUAUCUUGAAAUUUGCUGUGCAUACAAAUAUAUCUACUCCAGGCAACUCAUCCUGGUACCUCCAAGAGAGCCUGUCCUUGAAGGUGGACCUGAAGACUGGGUUCCACCUGAGAGCUUGAGUGAUGAGCCAGUAAAGACCGAACCAUAACUCAGCUGCAAGCAGUCCAAUCCAAACCCAUCUGCCAUCUUCUCCAUUUUUUGGUAAGUUAGUGAUUCUGUAAACCCAUAUGAAGCAUACAGCAAGAAACACAGUUACAGAGAAGAGCCUGUAAAAGAGCCAUGCCUUAGCUUCUUUUGUUUCAAAUAAUGGGAUGUAUUGCUCUCUUUCCAUCUCUCUGUUUAAUUCUUUCUAAAUGAUCUGCACUCAUAAUUUUUAUCUUUUUUUUGGUUUACAUGAAAAUUUAAGAAAAAAAAAUAAAAGAGAAGAAUGGUGGCCACAUAGUAUAUUAUCCACAACUUAUUAAAAAAAAUCAUAAUUACUCACACUUAGUACUUUAAAUCUUAUUAUAUGUCAAAAUUAUUUUUAUUUUAUUAAUUUUAAUUUUAUUAUUUUAUAAAUUAUUGGUGAUAGGGAUUAAUUUACAUUUGAUUAUUACGAUUUUAUAAAGUAUAAUUUUAAUUUAAAAUUUUAAUAAGUUAAUAAGUUAAUCUCAAAUAAUAGUAUAGUAGGGUGUCUUAUAUAAUGGCAUAAACAUAAUACAAGAAAAAUAUAAAUAAAAAAUUGUAUGUGAUUCCAUUUAUUUAUUGAAAAAUAUUUUAACAUUUUUUAAGAUUUAGAAAACUCAGAAAAAUAGUAAAUGAAAAAUAUUUUUUUUAAAAAAAUCAUUUUUUAUAUUUCAAACAUUUUGCAAAUACUAUAACGUGUAAAAUGUAUUUAAUAUGAUUGAAAUAUAAAUAUACUGCCACUAAUUAUUCUUAUAAGAAAAAAAAAAGCGAGUUGAUGGAUAUUUAUAAGGGCCAUUCCGACGGUGAAAUAAAUAAACGAAUAAAAAACAAUUGUAAUAUAAUAUUUUAAACUCAUGAGUAAUAUACAAAAAUUAUGUAAUUUAAUUUUUGUGAUUAUUAAUUUUUAUGUUGUCAGAAAAUAGAAUUAGUUAUCACAUCAUCAUCUAACAGUAACUUCCAAUUAUGUAAAUAAUUAACGAUGGUUAAUUAGAACUAAUUACUACGAAUAUAAUAUUUUGCACAGGGAAAACUAGAACUAGAAACUAUAUAUUUGCAUAAUCUCAACUUAAUUUUUUACUGUCUCAAGAAAUAGAAAAUAGAAAACAUUAAAUAUCAGUAAAUUACAGAACUUGUAAAUAGCCACAAGGAAGAGAAUCAAUAUAGGAGAGUGAAGCUAGAGGAAGCAAGAAGAGCUACAACAAAUGAUUUGAAAGCUAGAGAACUUGGCAACUUGCCGUUGUCAUUCCUCAGGAAAAGGCCCUGAUACAGAGGCAAGUUGAUGAGAACCAAAGCAAUGCAGAGAAGAGUUUGCAAAGGCAUAGUCUUGUAAAGACUAAAAACAUCGCCAUUCAUGAUCACUUUAUUCACAACUCCAAUAAAGCAGAAGAGAUUGAGCAUUGCAAGUGUUGCUAAGAUGGCGAACAUUGGAGAGGAAUCUCCAAAUUCCAUCAUCUCUUUCUCGUACCUUUUUAAUACAUCUUCAUCGGUAAAUUUUGCAGUGACUACAAAUGUUGAUUCAGUGAAUCCUAGCAUCUUCAAAAUGGUGUCAAUGAAUCCAAAGAAGAAGGAGCUUGUUCUUUUAUAUAACCACAUUCUUUGUUCACACCACCAGCCAAGGAUUGUGCCACCAGACCAUAGGAAUUCAGCUAGGCUAUAAAUGUAUCGAGUAGCUAUUACAUAAGCAAAAGGUAGGAUCCAUGGGCUCGAGAUCUGAAAAAACAACAAAAAAUUUUGAAUAGUUAGAUUAUAGAUGCAUUCACAAAAUCAAAGGUUUGUAAGAAAAUUCGUAAUUGAUAUAAGAGAACGCACACACACAUAUAUAUAUACCUGUGGGAACAAGGAUAUGCCUUUAAGGAGAUAAAGCGAAGGGAAUAUACAGUAACAGAGUACUGGAAUGCUGGAUGGACACCAGAAACAAUAGUAGCAAUAACCUAGUUGCAGGCCAAAGCUAAUCUUUCCACGGGCAUACGAUAAAGGGCUAUAAUUGCAAAACAAAAUCUGGAAAGCACCUUCAGCCCAUCUCUUGUGCUGCACCAGUGUCUGAGACAAGGUAGUUGGAGCCAGACCGAUGAAUGCCUUCCUUUCUGGAUUGAUAUACACUGAUUUCCAUCCUCUGCAAUGGAUUGACAAGCCAGUAAUCACGUCUUCGAGCAGACACCCGUAUCUCAGACCCAUCUGCAAUCCAACAUUCUUUUUGUUAGAGUAGAAUUUCAUAAAGAAAUUAAUGGAGAUUAAUUGCUGAUAGACCUCUUUGCCCCAUUGAGUGUUUUGCUCGUAAGUACAGCUUGCAAGAGACUUUGUUUCUUGUUCUAAUUCCAGUAUGCUCCUUAGUCUCUUAUGAUCAUCAUCGUUCUUCCAUUCAAAUUUGCUAUCUUUAGUGAAUUUCCUUCCACACAGAACAUCUCUCCUCUGAAAGCAGCCAGUUCCACAAUAUGGAGGGCCUCCAAAACCAUCCAAACCAUGGAAUUCCACCUUUAAAAAUUGCCAACAUUUAGCAAAGAAGCAGGACGAAUUAUGAAACUCUAACACAUGACUGAUCAGUUUAAAUAUAUAUACACUUGUCUGCGCUUACAUUGAAACCCACUCGUAAAGAGUUGCUGUAAACAUCAUUCUUGGUAAUAUUUUCGAAGUGUUGUGGGUAUUGUGCAAAAGCAACUUCAUGGCUUUUCUCUUCAUCCAAGAAGAAGCAAAGUGCAUCGUGAACGGAUAAUGAAUUGUUUGAGUACAUAUCACAGUCAAGAUUGAGAAUAAUCGGUCCAUUGCUGAUCUUUGAUGACACUCUAAUCUGCAUAGUAGACCAAAAAAAGGCAAAUAAAUGAUCUUGACGAACAAACAUGACCAGAAUCUAACAAAGAGUAUAUGGGUACAUGCAGAUAAAUUAGUUACCAAGGCAUUCAUAGCUCCAGCUUUGAAAUGGUGUGGAUGUUGGGGUCUCUUCUCUCUAGCAAGGUAUACCAAAGUAGGCAAAGCACACCCAUCAAUGUCUUUGGCAUUUGGAUCUUUCCCAUCUAUCAGAAUCUGUCAAACAAAGUGGAAGUACAAACAUCGAACACCACGACUACAAUUAUACUUGAUGGGAAUUAAACUCAUGCAAGUUGGAAAAGAAAAAAAAAAAAA
rnacentral:lncRNA from 1 species